UACGAAGGGGCUAGCGUUGUUCGGAAUCACUGGGCGUAAAGGGCGCGUAGGCGGCCGAUCAAGUCGGGGUGAAAGCCUGUGGCUCAACCACAGAAUUGCCCUCGAUACUGUUUGGCUUGAGACCGGAAGAGGUUAGUGGAACUGCGAGUGUAGAGGUGAAAUUCGUAGAUAUUCGCAAGAACACCAGUGGCGAAGGCGGCAUCCUGGACCGACAUUGACGCU
rnacentral:rRNA from 1 species